CCUACGGGAGGCAGCAGUGGGGAAUCUUGCGCAAUGGGCGAAAGCCUGACGCAGCGACGCCGCGUGGAGGAUGAAGGUCUUCGGAUUGUAAACUCCUUUUGUCGGGGAAGAUAAUGACGGUACCCGAUGAAUAAGCCACGGCUAACUCUGUGCCAGCAGCCGCGGUAAU
rnacentral:rRNA from 1 species